GUAGGGAAUAUUGGGCAAUGGGCGAAAGCCUGACCCAGCAACGCCGCGUGCAUGAUGAAGGUCUUCGGAUCGUAAAAUGCUUUUCUGAGAGAUGAGAAAGGACAGUAUCUCAGGAAUAAGUCUCGGCUAACUACGUGCCAGCAGCCGCGGUAACACGUAGGAGGCAAGCGUUAUCCGGAUUUACUGGGCGUAAAGCGCGUGCAGGCGGUUCGGUAAGUUGGAUGUGAAAGCUCCUGGCUCAACUGGGAGAGGUCGUUCAAUACUACCGGACUUGAGAGCAGUAGAGGGAGGUGGAAUUCCCGGUGUAGUGGUGAAAUGCGUAGAUAUCGGGAGGAACACCAGUGGCGAAAGCGGCCUCCUGGACUGUUUCUGACGCUCAGACGCGAAAGCUAGGGGAGCGAACGGGAUUAGAUACCCGAGUAGUCC
rnacentral:rRNA from 1 species